rnacentral:rRNA from 1 species
AGCAACAAAUGCCCUGCUUCCAGGAAAAGCCUCUAAGCCUCAGGUAACAUCAGAUCGUACCCGAAACCGACACAGGUGGUCAGGUAGAGAAUACCAAGGCGCUUGAGAGAACCCGGGUGAAGGAACUAGGCAAAAUGGUGCCGUAACUUCGGGAGAAGGCACGCUGACACGUAGGUGAAGCGGUUUACCCGUGGAGCUGAAGUCAGUCGAAGAUACCAGCUGGCUGCAACUGUUUAUUAAAAACACAGCACUGUGCAAACACGAAAGUGGACGUAUACGGUGUGACGCCUGCCCGGUGCCGGAAGGUUAAUUGAUGGGGUCAGCGCAAGCGAAGCUCCUGAUCGAAGCCCCGGUAAACGGCGGCCGUAACUAUAACGGUCCUAAGGUAGCGAAAUUCCUUGUCGGGUAAGUUCCGACCUGCACGAAUGGCGUAAUGAUGGCCAGGCUGUCUCCACCCGGGACUCAGUGAAAUUGAACUCGCUGUGAAGAUGCAGUGUACCCGCGGCAAGACGGAAAGACCCCGUGAACCUUUACUAUAGCUUGACACUGAACACUGGUCCUUGAUGUGCAGGAUAGGUGGGAGGCUUUGAAGUGUGGACGCCAGUCUGCAUGGAGCCGUCCUUGAAAUACCACCCUUUAAUGGCUGGUGUUCUAACGUAGACCCGUGAACCGGGUUGCGGACAGUGUCUGGUGGGUAGUUUGACUGGGGCGGUCUCCUCCUAAAGCGUAACGGAGGAGCACGAAGGUUGGCUAAUCCUGGUCGGACAUCAGGAGGUUAGUGCAAUGGCAUAAGCCAGCUUGACUGCGAGCGUGACGGCGCGAGCAGGUGCGAAAGCAGGUCAUAGUGAUCCGGUGGUUCUGAAUGGAAGGGCCAUCGCUCAACGGAUAAAAGGUACUCCGGGGAUAACAGGCUGAUACCGCCCAAGAGUUCAUAUCGACGGCGGUGUUUGGCACCUCGAUGUCGGCUCAUCACAUCCUGGGGCUGAAGUAGGUCCCAAGGGUAUGGCUGUUCGCCAUUUAAAGUGGUACGCGAGCUGGGUUUAGAACGUCGUGAGACAGUUCGGUCCCUAUCUGCCGUGGGCGCUGGAGAACUGAGGGGGGCUGCUCCUAGUACGAGAGGACCGGAGUGGACGCAUCACUGGUGUUCGGGUUGUCAUGCCAAUGGCACUGCCCGGUAGCUAAAUGCGGAAGAGAUAAGUGCUGAAAGCAUCUAAGCACGAAACUUGCCCCGAGAUGAGUUCUCCCUGAGACUACAAGUCUCCUGAAGGAACGUUGAAGACGACGACGUUGAUAGGCCGGGUGUGUAAGCGCAGCGAUGCGUUGAGCUAACCGGUACUAAUGAACCGUGAGG